UCCUCAGGUAGGAAAGAAAAAGAGGUAUUUGUAUUUCUUUCUUUUUUUAAAACAAGUGCCAUCUUUUUCUUUCCAAUACCGGAGAGGCAGCAGCAGGGGAGGAGGAAUAAGCAGGAUCGGGGCUCGCUGUUGAACCCCAGGAGGGAGAUCAGUGGUAGCGUGGCCAUUUUUCACGUCGGGAAGCCGAGGCCUGCCAAGGGGAGCGGACCGCGAGGACGGGAGAACCCGGCCGGGGUCUUGGAGUCAGCGCCGCCAGGGCUCCUCCAGCUUAGCGCCGCGAGAACAGCUCUGGCCUUUCGUGGUCCGCCUGGCAGGAAGGGCGGUUCUGAGGUGACUGGAGACGGACUCGGCGACUCAAAUCCCGCUGGUUCCCCCAACACAGUGUGGCUGCAAAAAAUACGCCUAUUCUUUCCCCAGCCGUGAAUCUGUCAGUUAUUACACACGCCAUCACUUACUUAUCUGGCUUUCCGUGAGCGAUUGUUACGCCUAGGGGUUUCGGAGUUCUCGAUCACCUGCUGUAUCAGUCCUGAAGUGUUAAAACUCCUAUAGCCCGAAGACUUGGCGGGCGGGCGCUCCUUUCCUAAACAGGGUAGCAACGCGCCCCGAGUGCGGGGAGGCGGGCCGUCUCUGGCCAGGGACUAGUGGCUUUGGGCACUCUGCAUUUGCAUUCUUUGUUUUCCCACACCUCCAGCUUUUAAACUGAGAGUCUUCUUUGCAAAGGGCUUUGUGCUAGAGGGGUUGAGAUCCCGCUGAAAUACAGUGGAUUUAUUUAUCUUCAGAAACAUUUGGCAACAUCACACGUUAAUCCUGUCCCUGAGAGACAGAACCUGCCAAGCACCCUAAUUCUAACCAAUGAAAUCUAUUUUAGAAAUGAAGGCAAUUAAAAAUAGGUUUCAGUGUAGUCCUUUGAAGUUUCCGAUAAGGUUUCAAAUAGUCCUCGCAGCAACCUGAUCCAUAGUUUUUAGUAUUAUUUCCAUCAUUUUUAUAAUUCCCAUUUCAGAGAUGAGCACAAUCGGAAAGAUGCGGAUUUGGCCCAGACAGUUUUGUUGAGAAUGGAUCAAGGGAAAGGGAAAGAAGGCGGAGUACGUACCUAGGAGGGGGAGGCAGCCAUCAAGCAGGGCUCAGGAUGGAGCCUGAGCUGGAAGCCCUGGUGGGCUCUGUGUGAAAUUUAUGUACGAGGUAACCGGAGGAGAAGCUGGUGGGAAGAAUAUAGUUUUUUGUUUUUUUUUAUUUCACGUCUAAAAAUGUUAUCAAUGCUGCCAAUCUCACCCCCACCUCAGGUCUGAAGAAUCUAUUAGCCAACAAAUGGCUGUUGAGCCUUUGAGGCAAAGUGCUAAAUGCUUGUAGGGGGUGUGAGAAAAACACACGAUUAUUGCAGGAGCCCUUUUCUCUGUUUUAGCUCUGGGCAGGGUCAGUUUCUGUGGCUUCUGCAGCCUCCCACCUUUCUUCUUCCUGAGCUAGCAGAGACUUGCCUUUAGGUUGCUGGUAUAUGCACAACCUUUCUUUGACACUAGGUUAAAUAAUACUUGGGGGAGGAUUUUGUGAAAUCAGAAUCCUGUACACAGGUGAAACAAACAGACAGUAUGAGGAACCUUUAAUUAUUAACCUGCUGUGGAUGAUUCUGAGGAAUUCAAAUUCCACACGAAUUCCAAGGAUUUAAUUUCAGCCAUGAGCUGUUUGGGGGACCAAAUUCUGGCCUAAAAGACACUUCCUUGUGGUAGACCUUAGAG
ensembl:lincRNA